rnacentral:rRNA from 1 species
CCCUAUGGCGUACGAUAAUGACUCAAGCAAUCGAACUUAAACGAUGCGUUGGAGGCGACCGACAUCCGGUAGCGUCUCUGCGGGACGACCUGUGCCUGUGGGGUGUGGCGCUAUUAUUCUCAUUUUUGAAGUAGUGUAAGAUGUUGACCGACAGCAUUAUGCAGCGUGUUUUGGACAUUCAUCGUUCCAGGCACGGAUUCUGCUGAAGUGAGGUAGCAAUGGCAACCAAAGCGAACAUCAGUACCAGCCAAACUCCCCAAGAGCGGACCGGACAACUGCCCGUCCUCGGAGGGGAUUUUGCUGGGCCUGUUGCUGCCGAUGGGUGCGAGGAGAUCGCCCUGACCCUGCGGGAUGUGGAGGUUCCUGGCGGGAGGGC